rnacentral:rRNA from 1 species
UACGUAGGCAGCGAGCGUUGUUCGGAAUUACUGGGCGUAAAGAGUGUGUAGGCGGUGCUCUAAGUUCGGUGUGAAAUCUCCUGGCUCAACUGGGAGGGUGCGCCGGAAACUGGAGUGCUUGAGCGUGGGAGAGGAAAGCGGAAUUCCUGGUGUAGCGGUGAAAUGCGUAGAUAUCAGGAGGAACACCAAUUGCGAGGGCAGCUCGCUGGGACGUUACUGACGCUGAGACGCGAAAGCGUGGGGAGCAAACAGG